CCAAGUCAAACUGAAAGUGACCCAGUAUGCCUCGAGGGAAGACGUAGCUGCCAAGGAACGAAAUGAUGCACUGAUAGAGCUGGAAACGCAGCAAGUUAAAACAG
rnacentral:SRP_RNA from 1 species